AAACUUUCAACAACGGAUCUCUUGGCUCUCGCAUCGAUGAAGAACGCAGCGAAAUGCGAUAAGUAAUGUGAAUUGCAGAAUUCCGUGAAUCAUUAAAUCUUUGAACGCAAAUUGCACUCCUUGGUAUUCCGAGGAGUACACUUGCUUGAGGGUCAGUUAA
rnacentral:rRNA from 1 species